UACAGAGGUCCCGAGCGUUGUUCGGAUUCACUGGGCGUAAAGGGUGCGUAGGCGGUCGGGUAAGUCUGAUGUGAAAUCUCACAGCUUAACUGUGAAACUGCAUUGGAUACUAUUCGGCUUGAGAGUUGGAGGGGGGACUGGAAUUCUCGGUGUAGCAGUGAAAUGCGUAGAUAUCGAGAGGAACACCAGUGGCGAAGGCGAGUCCCUGGACAACUCCUGACGCUGAGGCACGAAAGCUAGGGGAGCAAACAGG
rnacentral:rRNA from 1 species